AGUGGGAUAGCUGGGUCAAAUGUGUGGUUCCAUUCCCAGUUUUCUGAGGAAUCUCCAUACUGCUUUCCAUAGUGGUUGCACCAAUUUUCAGUCCCACCAGCAAU
rnacentral:pre_miRNA from 1 species